UCCAGACUCCUACGGGAGGCAGCAGUGGGGGAUAUUGCACAAUGGGGGAAACCCUGAUGCAGCGACGCCGCGUGGGCGAAGAAGUAUUUCGGUAUGUAAAGCCCUCUCAGCAGGGAAGAAGAAAUGACGGUACCUGAGUAAGAAGCACCGGCUAAAUACGUGCCAGCAGCCGCGGUAAUACGUAUGGUGCAAGCGUUAUCCGGAUUUACUGGGCGUAAAGGGAGCGCAGGCGGCGCGCCAAGUCUGAUGUGAAACCCCGGGGCUCAACCCCGGGCAUGCAUUGGAAACUGGCGGGCUGGAGUGCCGGAGAGGUAAGCGGAAUUCCUAGUGUAGCGGUGAAAUGCGUAGAUAUUAGGAGGAACACCAGUGGCGAAGGCGGCCUGCUGGACGAUGACUGACGCUGAGGCUCGAAAGCGUGGGGAGCAAACAGGAUUAGAUACCCCUGUAAC
rnacentral:rRNA from 1 species